rnacentral:lncRNA from 1 species
CUUUAUCUGCUCUCUUUCACUUCCUGUUAUGCUGUUCUUACUCUUUUCUUUCUUAUUUUGUUCUCUGACUUAUUGAUUAUCCUUGAGGGCUGCACUCGGAGAUGAGAGAUCAUUCUCCCUAUACCUGGAUAAAAUCCAAGGCCCUAGCAUCUCAUAGCAACACUCUCAAGCAGCUUUCUUACCAACUCUAGUUACUUACUCGUUUGGCUUUUUCUAUCUCUCGCACUCUACUGGUGUCAUCCUGCAGAGAAGACUGGUUCUGGGUUUAGACAUCAGUCCUAUAUCUCAUUCUAGUCUCUUAGCAGGUGGUAAACCUGACGGCUUAUUUGAAACAACAUCUAAAACUUUUCUCUGGCUGCGGGCACUCAACCUGGUUCCCCUCCUAAUCUGAUGAACUGCUAUACUCUCUAACAUAAGCACGAAACCUCUGAUAACCUCUCCUAACCAGUUUACGAGCCUAGAGGGCUGCUAUUACAUUUCAGACAUCUC